GGAAACCGGGGCUAAUACCGGAUAACAUUUUGAACUGCAUGGUUCGAAAUUGAAAGGCGGCUUCGGCUGUCACUUAUGGAUGGACCCGCGUCGCAUUAGCUAGUUGGUGAGGUAACGGCUCACCAAGGCAACGAUGCGUAGCCGACCUGAGAGGGUGAUCGGCCACACUGGGACUGAGACACGGCCCAGACUCCUACGGGAGGCAGCAGUAGGGAAUCUUCCGCAAUGGACGAAAGUCUGACGGAGCAACGCCGCGUGAGUGAUGAAGGCUUUCGGGUCGUAAAACUCUGUUGUUAGGGAAGAACAAGUGCUAGUUGAAUAAGCUGGCACCUUGACGGUACCUAACCAGAAAGCCACGGCUAACUACGUGCCAGCAGCCGCGGUAAUACGUAGGUGGCAAGCGUUAUCCGGAAUUAUUGGGCGUAAAGCGCGCGCAGGUGGUUUCUUAAGUCUGAUGUGAAAGCCCACGGCUCAACCGUGGAGGGUCAUUGGAAACUGGGAGACUUGAGUGCAGAAGAGGAAAGUGGAAUUCCAUGUGUAGCGGUGAAAUGCGUAGAGAUAU
rnacentral:rRNA from 1 species